GUGACUGUGGCUCAGUGGGAAGUGUUGUCAUCUUGCAAUCUAUAAGCUGUUGGUUCAAUUCCAGCUUCCACCUGCCACA